rnacentral:rRNA from 1 species
AGUUCGGAUUGAAGGCUGAAAUUCGCCUUCAUGAAGCUGGAAUUGCUAGUAAUGGCAGGUCAGCAUACUGCCGUGAAUACGUUCCCGGGCCUUGUACACACCGCCCGUCACACCAUGAGAGUUGGAAAUACCCGAAGCCUGUGAGCUAACUUUUAGAGGCAGCAGUCGAAGGUAGAGCCAAUGAUUGGGGUGAAGUCGUAACAAGGUAUC